CCUACGGGAGGCAGCAGUGGGGAAUUUUGGACAAUGGGCGCAAGCCUGAUCCAGCCAUGCCGCGUGUGGGAAGAAGGCCUUCGGGUUGUAAACCACUUUUGUCAGGGAAGAAACGGCUUUUUCUAAUACAGAGAGCUAAUGACGGUACCUGAAGAAUAAGCACCGGCUAACUACGUGCCAGCAGCCGCGGUAAUACGUAGGGUGCAAGCGUUAAUCGGAAUUACUGGGCGUAAAGCGUGCGCAGGCGGCUUUGCAAGACAGAUGUGGAAUCCCCGGGCUCAACCUGGGAACUGCAUUUGUGACUGCAUGGCUAGAGUACGGUAGAGGGGGAUGGAAUUCCGCGUGUAGCAGUGAAAUGCGUAGAUAUGCGGAGGAACACCGAUGGCGAAGGCAAUCCCCUGGACCUGUACUGACGCUCAUGCACGAAAGCGUGGGGAGCAAACAGGAUUAGAUACCCUGGUAGUCCACGCCCUAAACGAUGUCAACUGGUUGUUGGACGGCUUGCUGUUCAGUAACGAAGCUAACGCGUGAAGUUGACCGCCUGGGGAGUACGGCCGCAAGGUUGAAACGUCAAAGGAAUUGACGGCUGAGAGAGCGACGGACGACGACGAGGGAGGAGG
rnacentral:rRNA from 1 species